rnacentral:rRNA from 1 species
CAGUAGCCGCGGUAACACGUAGGGGGCGAGCGUUGUCCGAAGUUACUGGGCGUAAAGCAUGCGUAGGCGGCUUCUUAAGUCUGAGGUGAAAGGUUCAACGCUUAACGUGAACAGUGCCUUGGAUACUGGGGAGCUUGAGUAUGGGAGAGGGCAGUGGAAUGGCUGGUGUAGCGGUGAAAUGCGUAGAUAUCAGUCGGAACUCCCAUGGCGAAGGCAGCUGCCUGGCCUAAUACUGACGCUGAGGUACGAAAGCGUGGGGAGCGAACGGGAUUAGAUACCCCCGUAGUCCCUGUCUCUUAUA